UUUUAGGCCGUGGAGUUCUGUUUUGAUUGUGGUUGUUUAUUCAUUAGGCCCCGUUUAUUUUAUAGAUUUGUUGCUGUGAUUCUCUCUCGCGCAUGGUGGAAUUUUCGAACCCAUUACCAUUGUUGCUGUGAUUUUGUAACAGGGUGGAACUUACAUGAAAUGGCCCGCUCAGCUCCCCGUGGCCAAAAGCCGUCGCUGCUGCCGCCGAGUCCGGAGUUUCCAAGGAGGAGGAGAGGCGGUGAAACACGCACCCACCCGAGACGUCGGCGUUGUGGUUGGGGAGGGACGCCGGUGCCGGGGGAUGCUGGAGGCAGGGGGCGGUAGGGUGGCGCGCAGGUGGGUCGG
rnacentral:lncRNA from 1 species